GUCUAUGGCCAUACCACCCUGAAUGUGCCCAAUCUCGUCUGAUCUUGGAAGCUAAGCAGGGUUGGGCCUGGUUAGUACUUGGAUGGGAAGGGAGAUGGCAUGAUACUGCACGCC
rnacentral:rRNA from 1 species